rnacentral:rRNA from 1 species
CCUACGGGCGCAGCAGUGGGGAAUAUUGGACAAUGGGCGAAAGCCUGAUCCAGCCAUGCCGCGUGUGUGAAGAAGGCCUUCGGGUUGUAAAGCACUUUCAGUGGGGAAGAAAGCCUUGGGGCUAAUACCCUCGAGGAAGGACAUCACCCACAGAAGAAGCACCGGCUAACUCCGUGCCAGCAGCCGCGGUAAUACGGAGGGUGCGAGCGUUAAUCGGAAUUACUGGGCGUAAAGCGCGCGUAGGCGGUCUGAUAAGCCGGUUGUGAAAGCCCCGGGCUCAACCUGGGAACGGCAUCCGGAACUGUCAGGCUAGAGUGCAGGAGAGGAAGGUAGAAUUCCCGGUGUAGCGGUGAAAUGCGUAGAGAUCGGGAGGAAUACCAGUGGCGAAGGCGGCCUUCUGGACUGACACUGACGCUGAGGUGCGAAAGCGUGGGUAGCAAACAGGAUUAGAUACCCGAGUAGUC